AUGGUAGGCACGGACGGGGGUACGGCCCACAGAGUACAUGGAUACGCUGUCGAACUGCAAUGCAUGACAUGUAACCUGCGGCCUCUGCGACCCAUUAAAACCUCACACAGGCUCAGCAGCUUGGCUUUCCCUGUCAUCCCCUACCAGAAGACAACCGGGCACGGACAACCAUCACAUCGGCCAUUAACCGGCAUUCAUUCAUGCCGGGCUAGCACUAGAUCACAAACCGCACUGCACUGCUGCUCAUUCAUCAAGGCUGCUACAGCAGCUGCGACGUCAAACUCCCCGUCAUCAUCAUCGUCGUCGUCGUCCCCGGCAUUAAAAAGGAGGCGAGGAAGCCCGUGA
rnacentral:rRNA from 1 species